rnacentral:lncRNA from 1 species
AUUCAUAUCCUACCAUUGGCAUGUUAAUAAGGCUCUCAAAAGAAAAAGAAAACACUGAUGGAUUAUCCUAGAAGCAUAUUUUAUUAGACUAAUAAUGGUCUAUAUAUAAGCAGUUACAUUUAUUUCAUGUUUGAAACGGUGCAAAUUGUUAAUUUGAUUUGACUUUUACCAAAAGAAGCAUUGUAGCAAAGGAGAAGAAUAAUUGUGGUCUGAGGCCAGACACACGAAAAUAAUUGAAUUUAACAGAAAGGAAACAAAUAUCGGACUUUGGAAAAAGGGAGAGGGCUUUUGAUACCUUUUAUGAAAUUCUCCAUACAUAAUAUCUUUUACAAAAAAUCAUCCUACAACAGUCUUCAAGCUGCAUAUGCCCGCGAU